rnacentral:tRNA from 1 species
GGAUGUAGCUCAGUGGUACAGUACUUGCCUGGCAAGUAUGAGGCCCUGGGUUCAAGCCCUAGUAUUACA